rnacentral:tRNA from 1 species
CAGAAGGUGGUCUAAAUUUAAGAGGAUGAUCUUAGCUUUGGGGGUUAAGGAUGGGGGUUAGAGUCCCCCCUUUCUGA